AAUCCAUAGGUUAAUGAGGCGAACCGGGGGAACUGAAACAUCUAAGUACCCCGAGGAAAAGAAAUCAACCGAGAUUCCCCCAGUAGCGGCGAGCGAACGGGGAGGAGCCCAGAGCCUGAAUCAGCAUGUGUGUUAGUGGAAGCGUCUGGAAAGGCGCGCGAUACAGGGUGACAGCCCCGUACACAAAAGCGCAUGUGCUGUGAGCUCGAUGAGUAGGGCGGGACACGUGGUAUCCUGUCUGAAUAUGGGGGGACCAUCCUCCAAGGCUAAAUACUCCUGACUGACCGAUAGUGAACCAGUACCGUGAGGGAAAGGCGAAAAGAACCCCGGCGAGGGGAGUGAAAAAGAACCUGAAACCGUGUACGUACAAGCAGUGGGAGCACCCUUUGGGGUGUGACUGCGUACCUUUUGUAUAAUGGGUCAGCGACUUAUAUUCUGUAGCAAGGUUAACCGUAUAGGGGAGCCGGAGGGAAACCGAGUCUUAACCGGGCGUUAAGUUGCAGGGUAUAGACCCGAAACCCGGUGAUCUAGCCAUGGGCAGGUUGAAGGUUGGGUAACACUAACUGGAGGACCGAACCGACUAAUGUUGAAAAAUUAGCGGAUGACCUGUGGCUGGGGGUGAAAGGCCAAUCAAACCGGGAGAUAGCUGGUUCUCCCCGAAAGCUAUUUAGGUAGCGCCUCGUGAAUUCAUCUCCGGGGGUAGAGCACUGUUUCGGCUAGGGGGCCAUCCCGGCUUACCAACCCGAUGCAAACUGCGAAUACCGGAGAAUGUUAUCACGGGAGACACACGGCGGGUGCUAACGUCCGUCGUGAAGAGGGAAACAACCCAGACCGCCAGCUAAGGUCCCAAA
rnacentral:rRNA from 1 species